GAAACAGGUGCUAAUACCGGAUAACAACAAUAGCUGCAUGGCUAUUGCUUAAAAGGCGGCGAAAGCUGUCGCUAAAGGAUGGACCCGCGGUGCAUUAGCUUGUUGGUAAGGUAAUGGCUUACCAAGGCGACGAUGCAUAGCCGAGUUGAGAGACUGAUCGGCCACAUUGGGACUGAGACACGGCCCAAACUCCUACGGGAGGCAGCAGUAGGGAAUCUUCCACAAUGGGCGAAAGCCUGAUGGAGCAACGCCGCGUGAGUGAAGAAGGUUUUCGGAUCGUAAAGCUCUGUUGUUGGUGAAGAAGGAUAGAGGUAGUAACUGGCCCCUAUUUGACGGUAAUCAACCAGAAAGUCACGGCUAACUACGUGCCAGCAGCCGCGGUAAUACGUAGGUGGCAAGCGUUGUCCGGAUUUAUUGGGCGUAAAGCGAGCGCAGGCGGAAAGAUAAGUCUGAUGUGAAAGCCCCCGGCUUAACCGAGGAAUUGCAUCGGAAACUGUGUUUCUUGAGUGCAGAAGAGGAGAGUGGAACUCCAUGUGUAGCGGUGGAAUGCGUAGAUAUAUGGAAGAACACCAGUGGCGAAGGCGGCUCUCUGGUCUGUAACUGACGCUGAGGCUCGAAAGCAUGGGUAGCGAACAGGAUUAGAUACCCUGGUAGUCCAUGCCGUAAACGAUGAAAGGUAAGUGUUGGGA
rnacentral:rRNA from 1 species